AUCUGGGCACUGUCUCAACGAGAGACGCGGUGAAAUGAUAGUACCUGGGAAGAUGCAGGUUACCCGCGACAGGACGGAAAGACCCCGUGGAGCUUUACUGCAACCUGAUAUGGAAUGUUUGUACCGCGUGUACAGGAUAGGUAGGAGCCGAAGAGACGUGUGCGCUAGCAUACGAGGAGGCAAUGGUGGGAUACUACCCUGGCUGUAUGACCAUUCUAACCCGCCACGCUUAGCGCGUGGGGAGACAGUGUCAGGUGGGCAGUUUGACUGGGGCGGUCGCCUCCUAAAGAGUAACGGAGGCGCCCAAAGGUUCCC
rnacentral:rRNA from 1 species